CAUUCACACCUACGGUCAAUUUAGAGUCACCAGUUAACCUAACCUGCAUGUCUUUGGACUGUGGGGGAAACCGGAGCACCCGGAGGAAACCCACGCGGACACGGGGAGAACAUGCAAACUCCGCACAGAAAGGCCCUCGCCGGCCACGGGGCUCGAACCCAGGACCUUCUUGCUGUGAGGCGACAGCGCUAACCACUACACCACCGUGCCGCCCGCGGCAGAGGUGCCAUCCACAAUAGAUUUUCAUACAUUACAAUGUGCUUGAGAAAAAGAUGGAAGAAAAACAUUAUCCUAGCAUUAUCUGAAAAAGACUACAUAAACAAAGCUCUGAAAGUUAAUUAAAUGUAGAUGAGAAUAAAGCUGUUUUUAUAUUUAUUAUAUUUAUUUUAGUAGAGCCAUGGUCUGCCGGCUAUGCAGUUGUUCUCUCAAAGCCAUUAAGCAAAAAAAAAAAAAAAAAAUUGCUUAUUUAACAGCAACACUCAUUUCAGAGAAUAACAUGCACCCCCCCCCCCCCCCCCCCCCCCUCCUCCACACCCAAGUUCAUGUUAAAGACCAACGGAAUAUUCAACUCUCGUCCCAGCCGGGGCGAGGGGGGGGGGACGACUUAUCGUGAUGGUAAAAGUUGUGAUAAAUCAAGUCACUGUAAAGUUAAUCUGAAAAGGUAAAUAAAGUUCUUGUAAUUUUUAUAUGUAUUCGUACUGCCUACAUUGUUUGCAUUGUUUCUUCUUGAACUGGUCUCAAUUUUAAAACUCACAAUUUACAAUGACCAGUCAAUUGUGUACUGUAUCUGGCGCUAGCUCCGUCCAGUACUACUCUGUCAACAACGAGAGAGGUGGUGGUGUUGCUGAAAAAAUGAAUACAAAUGCUAGUUCUGAAUAAAUAAGUAGUGGCAGCCCGCUGUAUUUUAUUCUCUCUUUUUUUAAGUAUUAUUAUGAAAUUGUAAUAGACAUGCAUGCCCCCCGCCCCCAUAGUGGUGCGAACUUUCUGAUAAUGGUAUCUCCCAGUAGGCAAGGGAAAUGAAGUAAAGCCAACUACGAUAGAUGCAGACUGUUUCAUGCAGUUGUUCAAACCCAUUAAGUAACACCCAUUUUGCUCAUAUUCAACAGCAACGCUCAUUACAAAGAACAAACCACUUUAUUACAAAUUGCAUUAACAUUAAAAAAACGAACACAGUAUGCCGCGAUCUCCAGAGCCACGUUCUUCAUUGUUUAUCACAGUCAUGGAAACCGUUGCUAUGCGCCCAGCCCAGUAUGGCAGCAGGCAGGCUGGCUGCUGGCUGUUCGUUCGUUCGCGAACUGCUGAGCUCGUUCGCUGUGAACUGAAAUGUAUUGCUGAGUGAGAGCUCUAAAUUGUAAACUAAAGACCUGGCAUGUGUCAACGCUCUGAUAAUAGGGCUCAGAUAGCCCUUAAAGAAGUAAAGUGGCGCUGCUCUGCACAGAUCAAAAUGCAAGUUGGACGCCCUUCUGCUACUGAACAGAUCCUGCUGAUUCGCCAACGACCGAGAUUCAGCGACCGCCCUGCUGCCAGCGAGCAGAGACUGCUGAUUCGCGAACAACCGAGAACGAGAGGCAGCGCGAACUAGUUCUAGUCGUUCACUUCGAAGACUCGUUCAAAAAGAACGGUUCGUUCGUGAACAACACACCACUAGUCGCGGUGCAGCAGCCAGCCAGCCAGCAGUGGAGUGCGUACAGUCUGUGAUCGCUAAAUAUGAAGAGUGACUGUCAAAAACGUAAAGAAAGGCAGCUGAAAGCUGAGAGGGACCGGAGAGGCAGGCAACUGGUCACUCAGCUUUUCCCAAAGAAAGGUAGCUAAUCGCUCACGUGUGUUCAAAAUAUUAGCGAAUGGUAAAUGAACAGUAUGAACGUGGUUGGAUUAUACUAUCAAGAGAACACUUUUACAGUUUGUACAGUGACAUUUUUUCCAUUUUAAUAACUGAACUGACUUGUGUGAUAAACAAGAUGAAAUAUUACGGUAUGCUGGUGCUAAUAACUAGUGCUAAUAAUCAGUUUCAUAACUAAUGGGGUGCCCUAAAUAUGCACAGAUUCAGCCUCAGGGGGACCUCCGCCCUACCAAACCACUGAACCCCCCUUUGGAGAAGGAGGUAAGCAGCAAUACAACCCAUAAAUGAUUUAGGCCGUAAGGUGAACCCCGAAAAGUCUUUCAGAAACAAGAUUCCGCUCCGACGUCUCCAAACUACAUAAUAUCCAAUUCUUAAAAAUGGAUGUAUUAUGAAAUGAUGUCAUCAAAAAGUUCUCACCUUGUAAUGCUGUCAAUUUUUCGCACGAAGGCUUGAAAAAGCGAACUAAUGUCAUCGGCGUGGAAUGAUAUUUUGGCACCGCGGAAUAAGAUUUCGCUACAGAACAGGUUCCACGGUUGCUGACGUAGCCCCAUUUCGUAAACAAGAGACCAACAUGGCAGCCGCCACAGCCUCGUCUAGCAGCAGUGGAGGAGAGGAAAGUUUGGAAAUAACGGCAAAAAGGAGAAAACUUCUUGCACGUAAGCAGUGCUAUACGCAUAUAGCUUCUGUGAAGCACGGAGUGACCCAGGAAUUUACCUUCAAACGGUGGAAUACGUACCGGGACAGUAUCCGACAGUGGCUGCAGUUGAGCGGUGAGAACAGGAGAGUAGCCGAAAACUACAAACACUGUUUAGAUUUAGAGUUUGACAAAAUACCCGAGGAUGCUGCCUUCCACCCUGCAUGUUACCGCAGGUUUACGGACAAACUUGCUAUUGAACGAGCGGGAAAGCGUAUGGUGCGCAAGAAAGAAGGGGGAGAUGAAACUCAAGACGCCGCAAGACCCCCCGAAGCUGCCCCCCCCUCCGAAGCUGGCCCCUCAACAUCGGGCAGCACUAAGAGUCUUAGAUCCAGGUCAGCACUACCUAUGUCCAGCUCAGGUCCCGUCCUUCCUGCCCUGUGCAUUAUAUGUAAAAAACCCCCCUCAAAUUCGUCUUAAAGGGAGGCAAACGACAAAGGGAAGCUCUUUCAAAAGCUGAGACCUUAACAGCAGGCAAGUUGCAGACUGCUGCUGAGACUAAAGAUGACCACAGUAUUCUGGUACACAUUAAGGACAAAGACUGUGUGGCUCUGGAGGUGCAGUACCACAAGAGCUGCUACCAGCAGUACACCAGAUUUCUGAAUGAGCCUGCUAGACAAGAGAAGGACAAGUCAUUGCCUGGAUGCUGACCCCUGCCUUUUUGCACCGUGCCACAGGACU